rnacentral:lncRNA from 1 species
CCUGUUGCCUGCAGGCCAGAAGCAAGGUCUCGCUGUGUUACCCUGGCUGGAGUGCAGUGGCUACUUACAGGCAUGAUCAUAGCAUACUGCAGCCUCGAACUCCUGGACUAGAGCAGUUCUCCUGCCUCAGCCUCCAGAGCAGCUGGGACUGCAGACACGCACCACAGAGCCCAGCCUGAGUCAUUUUGAUUCUGUAACUGGCUUCCUCUCGGCGGGCAGGCUCACACCCUCCACCCCCAGCUGGAGAUGGAAGGAGGAUGCUCACCGCCCAUUCCUCAUGCAGGCCAUCGAUGGAAAUGUCAGACAGUGCGAGUCCACGCCUGAACACUUCUGGGGUCCGCUCUGGGACUGACACUGGCAGAUCCAUCGUGGCACCCGAGCUCUGUGAGGGCAAGACUUUGUUCGGUUGUGGGCUAUGCCCCCAACCCCUCGGACAGUGCCUGCACAGGUGGACAUUUUUGUUGGAUGAAGGAUUUUCUGUUAAAUGUGUCUGGCACACACAGAAAAACAAAGCCCAGCAGAUGCCGUUCCAUUGUUUGCUGACUUUCAUUGAUUCUAUGAGAAGUCUGCAGUCUUUUGCAGCGUUGUUUUCCUAUGUAUAAUUGUCUCCUCCCACCCCACUCACCCCAGCUGCUUUCCACAUUCUCUCUCUUUGAUUUUCAGCAGUCUGCCCAUGAUGUGCCUAAAUAGGACUUUCUUUGCAUUCAUCUUGGCUGGGGCUCACUGAACUUUCUGAAUCUGUAGAUUAAUUUUCUUUUUUCAAUAAACCUUGGAAUAUUUUCAGCA